rnacentral:rRNA from 1 species
CCUACGGGUGGCAGCAGUGAGGAAUAUUGGUCAAUGGGCGCAAGCCUGAACCAGCCAAGUAGCGUGAAGGAUGACUGCCCUAGGGGUUGUAAACUUCUUUUAUAAAGGAGUAAAGUGAGGCACGUGUGGCUUUUUGCAUGUACUUUAUGAAUAAGGAUCGGCUAACUCCGUGCCAGCAGCCGCGGUAAUACGGAGGGUACGGGCGUUAUCCGGAUUUAUUGGGGUUAAAGGGAGCGUAGACGGGUUGUUAAGUCAGUUGUGAAAGCUUGCGGCUCAACCGUAAAAUUGCAAUUGAUACUGGCAGUCUUGAGUGCAGUAGAGGUAGGCGGAAUUCGUGGUGUAGCGGUGAAAUGCUUAGAUAUCCCGAAGAACUCCGAUUGCGAAGGCAGCCUACUGAACUGUCACUGACACUGAUGCUCGAAAGUGUGGGUAGCAAACAGGAUUAGAUACCCCUGUAGUC